GCUGGUGUAGUGGUGUGUACCUGUGAUCCCAGUUACUCGGAGGCUGAGGCAGGAGGAUCACUGCAGCCCAGGAGGUUGAGGCUGCAGUGAGCUGUGAUCAUUGUGACGGUGCCACCGCACUCCAGCCUGGGCUACAGAGUGAGACCCUGUCUCCU
rnacentral:SRP_RNA from 1 species